rnacentral:rRNA from 1 species
AACGCUAGCUACAGGCUUAACACAUGCAAGUCGAGGGGCAGCAUUGGAGUAGCAAUACUUCAGAUGGCGACCGGCGCACGGAUGAGUAACACGUAUCCAACCUGCCGCUUACUCGGGGAUAGCCUUUCGAAAGAAAGAUUACUACCCGAUGGUAUAAAGAGUUCGCAUGUUCUCUUUAUUAAAGAAUUUCGGUAAGCGAUGGGGAUGCGUUCCAUUAGAUAGUUGGCGGGGUAACGGCCCACCAAGUCUACGACGGAUAGGGGUUCUGAGAGGAAGGUCCCCCACAUUGGAACUGAGACACGGUCCAAACUCCUACGGGAGGCAGCAGUGAGGAAUAUUGGUCAAUGGACGAGAGUCUGAACCAGCCAAGUAGCGUGAAGGAUGACUGCCCUAUGGGUUGCAAACUUCUUUUAUAUGGGAAUAAAGUUAGUCUCGUGAGACUUUUUGCAUGUACCUUAUAAAUAAGGACCGGCUAAUUCCGUGCCAGCAGCCGCGGUAAUACGGAAGGUCCGGGCGUUAUCCGGAUUUAUUGGGUUUAAAGGGAGCGUAGGCCGGAGAUUAAGCGUGUUGUGAAAUGUAGACGCUCAACGUCUGCACUGCAGCGCGAACUGGUUUCCUUGAGUACGCACAAAGUGGGCGGAAUUCGUGGUGUAGCGGUGAAAUGCUUAGAUAUCACGAAGAACUCCGAUUG